GGGCGCAAGCCUGAUGCAGCGACGCCGCGUUGAGGGAUGACGGCCUUCGGGUUGUAAACCUCUUUCAGCAGGGAAGAAGCGCAAGUGACGGUACCUGCAGAAGAAGCGCCGGCUAACUACGUGCCAGCAGCCGCGGUAAUACGUAGGGCGCAAGCGUUGUCCGGAAUUAUUGGGCGUAAAGAGCUCGUAGGCGGUCUGUCGCGUCUGCUGUGAAAACCUCAGGCUCAACCUGGGGCUUGCAGUGGGUACGGGCAGACUAGAGUGCGGUAGGGGUGACUGGAAUUCCUGGUGUAGCGGUGGAAUGCGCAGAUAUCAGGAGGAACACCGAUGGCGAAGGCAGGUCACUGGGCCGCAACUGACGCUGAGGAGCGAAAGCAUGGGGAGCGAACAGGAUUAGAUACCCUGGUAGUCCAUGCCGUAAACGUUGGGCACUAGGUGUGGGGUCCAUUCCACGGAUUCCGUGCCGCAGCAAACGCAUUAAGUGCCCCGCCUGGGGAGUACGGCC
rnacentral:rRNA from 1 species